rnacentral:lncRNA from 1 species
UUUUCUGACUAAUUUCCUCACUUCUCAGCAGGUGAAACCUACUGCCAGUUAGAGACUUACAGUGUUCAGCAUCCAUUCUGAUGCAAACCAAAAAAAGCAAGUCUCUUGCUGGCUGGGGACAAUGAAGUCAUUAAUCAAAAUCACUCUCCAUCUCCUCUGAUGAUGGAAAAAAAAAAGAAAAAGUCUGUCUACUAUCAGGGUGCAAAACUAAACUAGAAUCACUGGGCUAUGACCUCAGAAAAGGAGGUAAUAUGGAACAAGUUCUAGGGAAAAUGACAGUAGGGGAAGCACGUCUUCGAACCUCAGGAUCCUGGGGCUGACAUUUGGGUUUCAUGGUAAUUUAAAAUAGUUUCAAGGCUGCCUUGUGGUAUUGCUGAUUCUUAAGAGCCACAAGAAGUCCUUCUGAUGAUGGUAGGUAACCUGAGGCACAGAAACUUGCAGUAUGUUCCUCUCCAGUAGUCAUAUCAUACAAACAUCUUUAAAGUGGAACUUGCAGUGAGGGAAAGGGUAAAAGCCAUUACUGCAGGAUUUCUGUAUGUCAGAGAAAUCCUCAAAGAGGUGCCUAAGCUGACUUUAAGGCUGCUUUGUGCUGCUACUAUUGCACAGAACAGGAUGGAUCUGUCUUAUAAAUAUUCUGAGGAGAUAAUCUUGAAUUCUUCAAAAUGUUUUAAAGUGGAAAUAUCCUAAAAGGCAUGUGAAAUUCUACACACAUUGUUGGUCCAGUCUAGGACUGGUCAAUGGGAUCUUACAGCUGAAUAUAUCAGAAAAUACCAGUGAGACCCAUAGCUAGUGAUCAAUAGCCAGUAACUGAGACUCUACACAGAAUAUCCCAAUCGGGAAUAUAUCUAUGCAGGAAUCAUCUGCACGCAAGUAGCAUAGGGAAGGAAGAAAACUAAUAAAGAGGUUUAGAUGCAUCAUCCCUUCCUCCCCUGCUCUCUGAUUUAAACCAAUCUCCUUAAAGGUUUUCAUGUAAGUCAAAACACUGAUUUGUCCGGAGGAAGGCUUUUGUCACGUUUUCUAUCUGCUGGACAGCUGUAAAUAGGAGAUCUAGAGUAAUACAAAGCUUGCUGGACAGCCUCACCAACUUUUUCAGAACUUAAGCUUUCUUUGAUUAAACAAACAGACACAUAAACAACUCCUUUCUAAUCUCCAGAAAGCAAAGUCUUGCAAAAAAACCUGUGGAUUGGCAGACUGCUGAGAAGUUAUUUCACCACAGUGUUAGCUCUGAAGUAUGACAACAGUUUUAAUGCCAAUAUUAUGAAUUAUUUCAGGACUAAUUCCUUUAAUGGGGGGUUGAAUGGGGGCGAAAUGUCAAAAAUAUAUGAAGCCUUUUGCAGUAUUGCUGGAAGAAGGGCCUACCUAUGCUUUUCAGCCUAUUUUCUGAUUCAUGUAUAAAUGGUUAAUUCAUAAAGUGAUACAUGUCUUACCAAACAAAAAAAUAACAUGCUCAGUUUGACAAGACCAAAGGAAAAAAUGACAAAUACAUACAUGAAACCAGGAGUAUUCUCCAUAAGGACAGUAAAUUCUCAGUGGAUUACUCCGUAGUGGAGCUAUAACAAAACAAAAACAAUGCAUCAAAUCCAGUCUUGGGAAUGAGUCCUGAAAUGCACUGAUCUUACUGAAGCCACUGGGAUAUGCAAGGGCCCACCACCUCUUAAGAUCUGGCCUUGAAUUUCAAAUCAAGUCUUUCAUUUUACUUGCAAGUGCUAAUGCCAAAAAACCCAAGCAAAAUGGAAAAUGAUGUUUCAGUCCCUCAGGCUUAUUUUAAAGAGAUUACCUCCAGCUUGACACUUUUAUCCUUGGGAUAGGAUGCCAGGGCCUGUAAGAAAAGUUAAAUCUGAUCCAAAAUACUCAAUAAAUUGAAAAGGUAAAUUAUGAAUGCAGUAGUUUAGGCGAUUAUUAAUGACUCCUCUGAAAACAGGCAUGUUGUGCAAUCAAUUAUAUGUUUAAAUGGCCAUGUCUCCUCUAUGUCUUUUAGGUCAGAACUUUAAUCUGUAGUUUAAAGAUCAUAUCAAAGGAUUUAAGUGGCUGAAAAUGCAUGUUGCUUUAAACUGUACCUCUCAAUCUGCAGCUUAUGAUUUUUUUGACUCAUUGAUGAUUUGAUAUUUUUUGAAGUAUAUGAACUAUAUUGUUCUCAUGUUUUCACAUGGCCAAUCUGCAUCUGGUUUCCGAUCUUUUGUUUCCUGUAAAUGUACUUUCUUACAUAUACUAUCUUCUUUGAAUAAAAAAGCAUUAGAAAAGACAUGAGAAAUAACUUGGCUAUUGAUUUGGUGUAAUACAUAGAUGCUUCCCCAAGUUAAUCAAGGUAGUGAAAACAAAGUUCAGCUGUGAAGAACUGCAGAAGGACCAUACAAGGCUGAGUGAUAAUACUGCAGAUGAACUUCCAAGUGGAAGAACUGGAAGUAAUGCACUUGGGAUUAACCAAACAGAACUUUAUAGACACAGAACCAGGUGCUGAACUGGCUAUUACUACCCAGCAAUGAGAUCCUGGAGUUGUAACAGUGAAAAUGUCAGUUCAGUGCCAAGUUGUGACCAAUAAAGGAAACUGAGUGUUCACAUCUAUAAGGAAAGCAUUACAGAAACAAUACCAUGAACAUAAUCUUGCAGCUAGGUAAUCCUGUGGUGCACCUGCAUCUUGAAUAGUGUGUGUAUUUGUGGUUCCUCCACUUCAACAAAGAUGUAGCAAACUGUAAAAGAUCCAGAGAAAGGAUAGCCCUAAUAAUGACCACAGUUAUGGAGAAAUGAUUAAUUAGCCUGGCAUUCUUCCACCUGGAAUGGAAUUACCUGGUUGGGGGAUAUUACAGCAGUUGAUAAAAUAAUGAGUGACAGAGAGUAAGUACUAGGGAAUGAUCCAUCAUUGUGUUUUCAAAUACAUCAAGUAGGAGAUAUUAAAUAAAAUAACCAGAUGGCAGGUUCACAAUGCCAAAAUGAGAUGGUUCUUUAGGCUAGAUAGACUUAAUCUGUGAAAAUCCUUGCAAGAUUCCUGGAUUCCAGGAAUUUUACAUGGGUUUAAAAAGCAACAGCAAUGUGCACUGAAGAUGAAUCCAUAACAGAUUAUCAAACAGAAUGAUUCCACCUCUGAGCUACAAACUGUUGGAGAUUGCAAGGGUUAGUCUACGUACUCUCCUAAUAUCCAUCCCUGGCUGCCAUUGCCUUUGUGAAGGGUAUCAAGGGUCUUAGUACAGAUGACUUUUGGCUGGACACAGAGGGCUUUUGGCUCUACAAAAAGUAGAGAUAUACUAACAUUUUAAAG